GUGCUUGUUUCAGCAGCACGCAUACUAAAAUUUUGAAAACUACAGUGAUUAGCACGUGCAAGGAUGACGCAAAUUGGUGAAGUGUUCCAUAUUUUA
rnacentral:snRNA from 1 species